GACUUUGUGCUCACGUGAUCAGGGCUCGCCCGCUCGGUCUCCGCCCCUGGCUGUGCCGCCCCGGGCGAGUAAGUGCGGCCCGCGUCGUUUGGCUGGCGUCCUCACUACGUGCGAUGACCUCAUUUACAGUCGGUGAAACUGAGGCCAGACAGGGGGACGCCUUGUCUAGGGUCGCGCAGAGCGGCAGGCCGAGCUCUGAACCCUCUUCGGGAGGACUCGCGCUGUCCGUCACAGACUCGCUGUCCGUGGAGCCCAGGCCAGAGGGCAGCGCUUCCCGGAGCCUGUUUGCUCCUCGCGGGUUGUCUUGUUAUGGGACAUUUUCGGCACGUUUCCCGUCGAGAGCGCGGUGCUUCCAACUUCCGGCAGCGGUGGGAGCCGGGUCGGCCCCGAGGACACCCGGGUCCCCGAUAGCGGCGCGUCGCCCCCAGACCCGCUCGGGCCCCGGCGUCGGAUGCAGCAGGUCUGGAGUGGCCCCUGGAGUUUCUGAGUUUAGUAUCAGGACCGGAAAAAGCCUCUGCACUUGAUGGAAACAUAGAAAGUGGGACGUGGGGCCGUUCUGAAGAUCGAGAGGGACGGAGCAAAGCUUCCCGUGAACAGGAGCAGAGAUGGCCACGGAGGCAUGGGCUGCAGGUCCUGGGUCCCGUGCUCCCGCAGGCCCCGCCUCCACCGCUCCCCCUGCCAGAUGCACCUGUGCGCAGGGCUUUCUGCUCCAAGAGGCACGCAACAGAAACGGCAUGAGAGAGAAGGACGUUUCCCUGCACGUUGGACAGCUUCAGGCAUGGCUGGAUCCAGGAACCUAGCAGUGUCAUUUCAGACCGCUCCGUCUUUCAGCUUUUUUUUCCUCCGUGUCGCCGGGAAACUGCAUUGACAUUCACAGGACCCUUACAGGAAGGGGGUACCUCAUUCCCAAUUAUCGCAAGAAAUGUCCCAGGGCUGGUUCUUGUUGGCCUGCUGUGGAAACGGCAGUCAGCCCCUCCCACGUGAGCACACAGGCUGAAACUGGGGGAGGAGGGGACCCCAAAUGAGAACCACCGGGAUUCUGUAACCAGAGAUGCUGGACGGCAGGUCUGGCCUCCUGUGUUCCCUGUGGGUUCCUGUUAGCCCCUCAGGGGAAACCGAAGUCCUUGUCCUAUAUUAUUGGUGUGAAAUUCACGUAGCACACGACUAACCAUUUUACAGUGUACAGUUCAGUGCUACUUGGUGCAUUCACGAGGUUGUGCAACCAGCACCUCUAUCUACUCCCAGGACACUUUCAUCUCUCCUAAAAGGCACCCCGUCCCCCUUAGCAGUCACCCCCACUCCCUCUCCAGCCUCUGACCACUCACUCACUCUCCCUGUGGAUGUCCCUGUUCUGGAUGUUUCACAUUAAUGGAAUCACACACCGUGUCCAGCUUCUCUCACUGAGUGCCGUGUGUUCGGCGUCUGUCCACGCCGUGGCGAGUGUCAGCGCCUCCCCUGCUUUUCAUGGCCGAGGGACACUCCCCGUGUGGACGGACACGCUGUGCUGUGUGUGGCCCUCGUGUCGAUGGAUUCUUUUAAAAUUUCUACAACUUUACUGAGGUAUAUUUGACAUAAGAAACGUACACAUUUAAGACACCCAUCUUGGUGCUGGACAUGGGCGUGCCGGCGUCGCCAUCACUGCGUGCUGUGGGACACCUGCCGCCCUCCUGGCCCAGGCAGCCACUCUUCUGCUCUCUGCUAUUAGUAGUGUGCAGCUUCCAGAGGCUUCCACAGAAGGAAUCACGUCGUACAUCCUCGGCGCCUGGCUCUCCCAGGGAGCGUGGCCCUUCUGUCAUCCGGCUUGCGCGCCCGUCAGCGGGCUGUUCCCUCUGUUGCCGAGUGGCGUUCCGUGCAGCGCGUGGACCUGUUUACUCGCCUGUUGAAGGACUUUCAGUUAUUUCUAGGUUUUUCCAUGGGAAUGGAGCGGUUCGAGCGAGCGUGCCCAAGCUGUUUGUGACGUGUCUUCAUCCCCGCUGGGUGUCGGCCUCGGGGUGGAGCAUCGGCUCACAACGGAGUGUGUGUUUUAAUUGUCGAAGCUGCCAGACUCUUCCUUUCAACCCAGGUACAACCGACGUCGGACAGCACGCCAGUCGCAGGUGUCGUGCCGCUGUUUUCUGAAGCAGGUGCACCCGUCCGUGUUCCCACCAGCCCCAUCUGAGAGUCCUGUCGCAUCUGGACGUUUUAUCCUUUGAAAGAAGACGCACGCUAUUCGUUUCCCAUAGGGGUCCACGCUGGCUGGCUUCACACGAAAGAACCUAUACCGUCCUGGUUCUGGGCCCACGCGUCUUUGAGACCACAGUGUGGCGGGGCCGUGCUCCCUCUCGAGGCUCCGAGGGUCCCUCCCGCCUCUCCGAGCUUCUGGGCGCUCCAGCGUCCCUGGCCUGUGGCCACAUCACCCCAGCCCCUGCCUCCAUCACCAUGUGGCCUCUUCCUGUGCCUCUCUCUUCUAAGGACACCUGUCAUUGCUUCGAGGCCCACCUGGCUGGUGGAAAACGACCACACCUUCCUGAGCUUUGCAGAUGUUGUAUUUUUUACAAACUGAAGGCCAGACCUGGCACCAGCAAGGUUACGGCUUACUUUGCUGCAGUGGUCUGGGACCACACCUGCGGUGUCCCCAUGGAGCGCUGACGGUGGAUGUGGCAUCUCUUUCAGGGCUGUGGCACGGCGUGGCCUUUGAGGACAGCCACCAUGGAGUGGGGGAGUCUCCCCCUCGUAGUCUGGCUUGUGCCUUCCUUCCUUGGUCUGCGGGUGACAAGGCUGCUCUGGCGGGCCCAGCAGGUUCUCUGACCCUGGCCGGGUGGCAUCCUGGAAGCCGGGGAGGCUGCUCUGUGUCCACGGCCGGGGCCCGAGUGGACUGCCACCUUCCUACCCGUUUGUUCAUGCAUAAGCACACAGCCCGAGAUCCGGGGACAGCUGAGCACCGUCAUAAAAUGUCACAUUUACUGCUACAGUGCUGUUCAGCACAGGACAGGUCUCAGCUUUGACUUCACAAGGGGGUUGUUUAAAAAAUUCCAAGAAUCCAGCCAAUUAUGUGGAUAUUUGUAUAAAAUUCCCCUUAAAAAAGUUUUUAGGCCAGUUACCUCGAGGCACUCGGCACAGUCCCCCACUAACUGUGGCCCCCGCUGCUCGUUCCACUCUGGGCUGACCUUUACGUACUCAUGUGUGACUUAGACACUAAAUCUGAACGUUCUUGGGCCCUAUCUGGACCUAUAGGCAAGACCAAAAGCAAAGUAAGAGGGAAAGUGAGGCAGGUUCCCCAAGCGACAAGACCCAAGCAGACCAGAGGAGUCACCAGGUGGAGUCUCCUGUCAGCCAGUGACUCCUUGCUCUCCUGAGGUGUCUCAGGGGAGGACCCCAGGGGAGGACCCAGGUGACAUCAGGGGUCGGAAGGUAGCCCUGGCCCCAAGCCCAGGUGCCCCGCCUGCUUUGCCUUGGGGUUCUGCCAAGCUCCUUGCCUCAGGGAGCUCCGGCCACAGAGGGUCGGGUGGCCCCAGUGCCCUGGGAGUGAGGAUGGGGGCCGUGGGCAGAAGAUGCCCGAGAUGCUGGGGGUCGGGCAGCUGGCCUGGGAGUCCUUAAGGCCUGUAUGGGAGAACAUGCUGUAAAGGGAAACCGAGACCCCAGCAGGCAUCACCCUGCACCUGCGUGACAUGUAGGGUGACCGGCCAUCCUUCCCCUGGGAACUGCAGGGGGUUAAAGGACCCAGAUGUCUAAUCUGGGAGAGCCCCGCAUGGCCCGGGACGAGCUGGUGCCCCUCGUGACGUGUGACCAGAGUGGGCCAUGAGGCCCACCCUCCUGGCUUUGCAGCGGGGCAGGUGCACAGCCUGGGCUCAGGGCCCCUGGGACUUCUGUCUGCCCGCGCAUGCCUUUGGCCCAUCGCCCAGGGCGGCUGCUCGGUGCAGCUGGCCUCGAGCUGCAGCCCAGGGGCUUGGGUCCCCAAGUUAAAGAACCCUCGGCACUGGGUUCCAGCUGUGCGGUCCUCGUGCCUGAGGACAGCGGUCCCGACGGAACCCACACCUGGCAGAGGCUGUGGGCCCAGCUGGCCGUGGGAGGGGCGUUAACGUGGGCCCCUUGGCCUCUUCACCGGGAGGGUCAGGUCUCCCUGCAGACACCUCACCCCAGGGAGCCAGGGUGUCCCCUUCCCAGGCAAAGCCCACCCACCACUUUAUGCCAAACCAAGAAAACCGCCAAAAAGCAGAGGAACCCCUAUCCGUCCUCCCUGCGCCCCACAGCCAAGCCCGGCGGGGGGCCUCGGGUUUACGUGGGGUCUUUUCAGUACAACCUUUAACGACGUGGCUGAUCGUGAAAUGCAACGCUCAGAGCUAGAAACAGCAGCAGAAAUAGCAAGAGACAUGAAACUUUUAUACAAAAACAUUUGUUGCUUACAAAACAUAUGCAAAAAAAGCUAAAAAAAAAAAAAAAAA